AUCUGGGUCCUUGGUGACAUAACUGAGCCUCUGAUUUGACCAACCCUGCAGCUGACCUUAACAGAGCUGGGGUUUUCAGUUGUUUCCACCAAAAAGCAUCAUAACUGAUAAUAUUGCUCCAGUGAACCCCUUCAGGAUAGACAGCCAUCAUUGAGGUUGCCCUUAGUACCUAGCACGGUGUUGGGCACACAGUAACUGCUUGUUUGCUAAAACUGGGGAGGGAAGGAAAGCAGAGGAAAGUUCUAGGAACUGAAGUAAACUCUCUUCAUAUAUAGAUAUGACUUGCUUUGUUAAACCCAACUUAUCGACACCUGGGUUUACUAUAAUUAUGAUAGCUCAAGAGAGAUUUCUCAAUUUAUAAAAGGAUGUGUAUUUUUACCAUGGAUUACUUUAACUAUGUUCCCUACUAUAAAGUCCUCAUACCAAACUCAGAGGGAACUGAGUCAAUCAACAUCCUUAUAUUCCCCCACAGCUUUCUGUUGCACCACCAAAGAAGUGUUAGAAAUUCUGCAGAUUCUUCAAAGAAGUUUCCCCUGAUCUUCCUCUACCUGCAUAGUACUUGUGGUGAAAUAAGCCUCACUGUCCUGUUUCAUCAAGAAAAGACACAUCAGUAGUGGGGAAUUCCCUGGCGGUCCAGUGGUUAGGACUCGGCACUGUCACUGCUGGGGCCCGGGUUCAAUCCCUGGUCGGGGAACUAAGAUCCCGCAAGCCGCAUGGCCAAAAUAAAUAAAGAAAUAAAUAAAUGAAAUAAAAUCUCUUCUUCCAUUCCCUUAAACAUA